CUUGAACGCUGGCGGCAGGCCUAACACAUGCAAGUCGAACGAGUGGCGGACGGGUGAGUAAUGUCUGGGAAACUGCCUGAUGGAGGGGGAUAACUACUGGAAACGGUAGCUAAUCCCGCAUACCAUCAGAUGUGCCCAGAUGGGAUUAGCUAGUUGGUGGGGUAACGGCUCACCAAGGCGACGAUCCCUAGCUGGUCGGAGAGGAUGACCAGACACACGGGAACGGAGACACGGUCCAUACUCCAACGGGAGGCAGCAGUGGGGAAUAUGGCACAAUGGUGGCAAGCCUGAUGCAGCCAUGCCGCGUGUAUGAAGAAGGCCUUCGGGUUGUAAAGUACUUGCAGCGGGGAGGCGUUACCCGCAGAAGAAGCACCGGCUAACUCCGUGCCAGCCGCCGCGGUAAUUC
rnacentral:rRNA from 1 species